rnacentral:misc_RNA from 1 species
UGAGGCUCAGACAGAAGCUCAACAGCCGGUAGAAUUAAUUGCUUCGCAAGCACUUCCUUUACAGUCGAUUCCUUUCCAAGGAACAGCCAACCGAAGAAUCAAGUUACACAGGAAACGGUGCGGCAUGUCCAAUGCAGAGGCAUCUGAAAGCAACAUUGAUAAGUAUUCUGUCGAGGAAACUAAAUUACCAAGCUCUGAGGAGUUACCAAAAAGCGUGCUUGGUUUUUUCUCAGCUAGGAUAGGCAAUCACAAACUGAUUUCUAUACUUUUUAUUAUCCUGACUUUACUGGUUUUGGUACUUUCUUUGUUGGGAGGUUCCCAGCAAGUGAAAAGAAUCACAUAUGGAGCCCUGUACAGGGCUUUCUGGGAAUGAGCAAUGCAUGGCAUACCGUACAAGGCUUUCUAUGAAACUGUAAAAAUGUCAAAUUAGCAAGCAUUCUCUCUCUCUCUCUUCCCUUCUUAGCACUCUUAUUGUUUAAUGUCAGAGUACAAGUUUAAGCUUCAAGAAAGACUAUGGAGUUUGAGCUGUGGGAUGUGGGGACCUUUUGCAUUGUUUAGGGUUUUCACAGCGUAAAUUUGUUAAGAAGUAUUUUCUUGGAAUGACGUACACGAGUUGAACUUGACAAGGAGAAAAGCAGAAUUUGAAAAGAUCAUUAGUGUUAAUUUAGUAUAAUUACAAUUGCUAGUGUUUGUUCAGCGACUGGAGGGUAGCAUUUGGGGUUUUUUAGUAAAAAGGGGUUAUCAAAAAUAAAAU